GAGAGCUUUAGAGCAGCCCCCACAAAAUAAGAAAAUAUACUUUAAGUCCGACCGCACUGCAGCCAAAAGUUCCUUCAGGCUUUUGGACUACGGGAAGAAACCUACGUGAACAAGGAGAGAAGAUACAAACUUCAUGCACAUUGAGCUGGAUUCAAACGCUUGUUCCAAGGCCACAGCCCCUCAGAGAUGAGCAAUGAACACUCCACCCGACAGGCAGAGAAGGGCAGCAGCAGCCAGGAUGGCAUUGAGUUUGGUAAUAUGGGGAUCUUCCAGCCCCUGGAAGAUAAACCAAAAGAUUUAUGCUUGCAGGCCAUUUCUAAGGCUAUGUUAAGGAGGGGAUGCUGGGAUUGGUAAGGCUCAGUA